GUGCUCGCUUCAGCAGUACAUAUAUUAACACUGAAAUGAUACAGAGGAGAUUAACUGGCCCUGUGCAAGGAUAACAGGCAGAUUUGUGAAGUAAAAAAUGGAUCA
ensembl:snRNA U6 U6 spliceosomal RNA